UAACAUAGUGAUAGAUAUGGAUGAGGAGGAAGAGGAGGAGGAGCAUGCAGGCAUGCCGAGCGAUCAGGAGUACAGCAAGCAAGUGCGGCAGGUAGCAGACGAGGACGCCGUCGGGGUGAGGGAUGCACUGUCCCAGCACAUAAUCGAAUCUAGAGUCCUCACAGUGGCCGCAGAGGAGGAACAAGAAGCAGCAGCAGUUGCAUCUAGUUCAGGAGAUGGAAACAAGGAACAGGAAGAGCACCGACAACGAAAAGCAAAUCGAGGAAAGGAGAAAGUGGAUGAUAGCUAGCUAUGGAGGUCAGAAGACGCCCCCCCUCCACUUAGUGAUUUUGGUGGAAGGUGACGAGGGAGGUCCAAUCCAGCCACACCAAGAGUUCAGCUUGCACCAGGCAGCUAGCCCAUAUGAGAUA